rnacentral:rRNA from 1 species
ACUCCUACGGGAGGCAGCAGUGGGGAAUAUUGGACAAUGGGCGCAAGCCUGAUCCAGCCAUGCCGCGUGAGUGAUGAAGGCCUUCGGGUUGUAAAGCUCUUUCACCCACGACGAUGAUGACGGUAGUGGGAGAAGAAGCCCCGGCUAACUUCGUGCCAGCAGCCGCGGUAAUACGAAGGGGGCAAGCGUUGUUCGGAAUGACUGGGCGUAAAGGGCGCGUUGGCGGUUCGUUGCGUCAGAUGUGAAAGCCCCGGGCUCAACCUGGGAACUGCAUUUGAUACGGGCGGGCUUGAAUCCAAGAGAGGGUGGUGGAAUUCCCAGUGUAGAGGUGAAAUUCGUAGAUAUUGGGAAGAACACCAGUGGCGAAGGCGGCCACCUGGCUUGGUAUUGACGCUGAGGCGCGAAAGCGUGGGGAGCAAACAGGAUUAGAUACCCUGGUAGUCCACGCCGUAAACGAUGUGUGCUAGCCGUCGGGCAGCUUGCUGUUCGGUGGCGCAGCUAACGCGAUAAGCACACCGCCUGGGGAGUACGGUCGCAAGAUUAAAACUCAAAGGAAUUGACG